rnacentral:rRNA from 1 species
UACAGAGGAUCCAAGCGUUAUCCGGAAUUAUUGGGUUUAAAGGGUCCGUAGGCGGUUUUAUAAGUCAGUGGUGAAAGCCCAUCGCUCAACGGUGGAACGGCCAUUGAUACUGUUAAACUUGAAUUAUUAGGAAGUAACUAGAAUAUGUAGUGUAGCGGUGAAAUGCUUAGAGAUUACAUGGAAUACCAAUUGCGAAGGCAGGUUACUACUAAUGGAUUGACGCUGAUGGACGAAAGCGUGGGUAGCGAACAGG